UGUGUUAAAAUGCUUGUUCCCAGCUUGCCUC
rnacentral:piRNA from 1 species